AUCAAGCUGACGAGUCCCAAAUAAGACGAAAUGCGAUUCUUGCAU
rnacentral:hammerhead_ribozyme from 1 species